rnacentral:rRNA from 1 species
AGAGGUCUGCAAGCGUUGUUCGGAUUCAUUGGGCGUUAAAGGGGUGCGUAGGCGGCGCGGUAAGUCGGGUGUGAAUACUCGAGCUUACUCCGAAACUGAUUGUACUGCCGUGCUUGAGGACUGGAGAGGAGACUGGAAUUUACGGUGUAAGCGGUGAAAUGCGCAGAUAUCGGGAGGAACACCAAUUGCGAAGCAGCUCGCUGGGACGUUACUGACGCUGAGACGCGAAAGCGUGGGGAGCAAACAGG